CGAACGCUGGCGGCGUGCUUAACACAUGCAAGUCGAACGGAAAGACCCUGCUUUUGUGGGGUGCUCGAGUGGCGAACGGGUGAGUAACACGUGAGUAACCUGCCCUUGACUUUGGGAUAACUUCAGGAAACUGGGGCUAAUACCGGAUAGGAGCUCCUGCUGCAUGGUGGGGGUUGGAAAGUUUCGGCGGUUGGGGAUGGACUCGCGGCUUAUCAGCUUGUUGGUGGGGUAGUGGCUUACCAAGGCUUUGACGGGUAGCCGGCCUGAGAGGGUGACCGGCCACAUUGGGACUGAGAUACGGCCCAGACUCCUACGGGAGGCAGCAGUGGGGAAUAUUGCACAAUGGGCGGAAGCCUGAUGCAGCAACGCCGCGUGCGGGAUGACGGCCUUCGGGUUGUAAACCGCUUUCGCCUGUGACGAAGCGUGAGUGACGGUAAUGGGUAAAGAAGCACCGGCUAACUACGUG
rnacentral:rRNA from 1 species